GACGAACGCUGGCGGCGUGCCUAAUACAUGCAAGUCGAACGCAUUUUCUUUCACCGUAGCUUGCUACACCGAAAGAAAAUGAGUGGCGAACGGGUGAGUAACACGUGGGUAACCUGCCCAUCAGCGGGGGAUAACACUUGGAAACAGGUGCUAAUACCGCAUAAUUCCAUUUACUGCAUGGUAGAUGGAUGAAAGGCGCUUUUGCGUCACUGAUGGAUGGACCCGCGGUGCAUUAGCUAGUUGGUGGGGUAACGGCCUACCAAGGCUGCGAUGCAUAGCCGACCUGAGAGGGUGAUCGGCCACACUGGGACUGAGACACGGCACAGACUCCUACGGGAGGCAGCAGUAGGGAAUCUUCGGCAAUGGACGCAAGUCUGACCGAGCAACGCCGCGUGAGUGAAGAAGGUUUUCGGAUCGUAAAACUCUGUUGUUAGAAAAGAACAAGGAUGAGAGUGGAAAGUUCAUCCCUUGACGGUAUCUAACCAGAAAGCCACGGCUAACUACGUG
rnacentral:rRNA from 1 species